rnacentral:rRNA from 1 species
UACGAAGGGGGCUAGCGUUGUUCGGAAUUACUGGGCGUAAAGGGUGCGUAGGCGGCGCGGUAAGUCGGGUGUGAAAUCUCGGAGCUUAACUCCGAAACUGCAUUCGAUACUGCCGUGCUUGAGGACUGGAGAGGAGACUGGAAUUUACGGUGUAGCGGUGAAAUGCGUAGAUAUCGUAAGGAAGACCAGUGGCGAAGGCGGGGUCUCUGGACAGUUCCUGACGCUGAGGCACGAAGGCCAGGGGGAGCAAAACGGGG